rnacentral:rRNA from 1 species
UACGGAGGGGGGCUAGCGUUGUUCGGAAUUACUGGGCGUAAAGCGCACGUAGGCGGCUUUUGUAAGUUAGAGGUGAAAGCCCAGGGCUUAACCCUGGAAUUGCCUUUAAGACUGCAUCGCUAGAAUCGUGGAGAGGUGAGUGGAAUUCCGAGUGUAGAGGUGAAAUUCGUAGAUAUUCGGAAGAACACCAGUGGCGAAGGCGACUCACUGGACACGUAUUGACGCUGAGGUGCGAAAGCGUGGGAGCAAACAGG